UUUUAUGGAGAGUUUGAUCCUGGCUCAGGAUGAACGCUGGCGGCGUGCCUAAUACAUGCAAGUCGAGCGAACGGACGAGAAGCUUGCUUCUCUGAUGUUAGCGGCGGACGGGUGAGUAACACGUGGAUAACCUACCUAUAAGACUGGGAUAACUUCGGGAAACCGGAGCUAAUACCGGAUAAUAUUUUGAACCGCAUGGUUCAAAAGUGAAAGAC
rnacentral:rRNA from 1 species